rnacentral:rRNA from 1 species
UGGGGAAUAUUGGACAAUGGGCGAAAGCCUGAUCCAGCCAUGCCGCGUGUGUGAAGAAGGCCUUUUGGUUGUAAAGCACUUUAAGUGGGGAGGAAAAGCUUAUGGUUAAUACCCAUAAGCCCUGACGUUACCCACAGAAUAAGCACCGGCUAACUCUGUGCCAGCAGCCGCGGUAAUACAGAGGGUGCAAGCGUUAAUCGGAAUUACUGGGCGUAAAGCGAGCGUAGGUGGUCAUUUAAGUCAGAUGUGAAAGCCCCGGGCUUAACCUGGGAACUGCAUCUGAUACUGGAUGACUAGAGUAGGUGAGAGGGAAGUAAAAUUCCAGGUGUAGCGGUGAAAUGCGUAGAGAUCUGGAGGAAUACCGAUGGCGAAGGCAGCUUCCUGGCAUCAUACUGACACUGAGGUUCGAAAGCGUGGGUAGCAAACAGGAUUAGAUACCCUGGUAGUCCACGCCGUAAACGAUGUCUACCAGUCGUUGGGUCUUUUAAAGACUUAGUGACGCAGUUAACGCAAUAAGUAGACCGCCUGGGGAGUACGGCCGCAAGGUUA